GACGAACUGUCCUAACGUUGUUCGGAAUCACUGGGCUUAAAGGGCGCGUAGGCGGUCCGACAAGUCAGGGGUGAAAUCCUGCAGCUUAACUGCAGAAGUGCCUUUGAUACUGUCGGUCUUGAGGGAGAUAGGGGUGUGCGGAACUCACAGUGGAGCGGUGAAAUGCGUUGAUAUUGUGAGGAACGCCGGAGGCGAAAGCGGCGCACUGGAUCUCUUCUGACGCUGAGGCGCGAAAGCUAGGGGAGCAACGGGG
rnacentral:rRNA from 1 species